rfam:Gorilla gorilla gorilla genomic chromosome, chr2B, whole genome shotgun sequence
GCUGGGCGCACUGGCAUGCGCCUGUAGUCCCAGCUCUUCAAGAAGCUGAGGUAGGAGUAUUGCUUGAGCCCAGGAGUUCCACGCUGCAGUGCACUAUGAUCACAACUGUGAAGAGCCACUGCCCUCUAGCCUGGGCAACAUAGCGAGACCCCACCUCUG